rnacentral:lncRNA from 1 species
GUGUAAGUUUGUGUGAAUGUUGACUGCCUGCGCCAUCCCUAUCCCAGUCAAUUCAGAAGCCACACUGAUGGCGCUAAAAGCAACAUGCAGCACCCCUGAUGUUGAGUUUCAGUUCCCCGCUAAAAGAGCAGUUGGCCUUUUAUAUGUUGUUGGACUGCAACACGCAGCACCCCUGAUGUUGAGUUUCAGUUCCCUGUUGUAACUUCAGUUCCGAAUCCAAGUCACAUAGGCUUGGAUCUUUGAACAGUAGUUCAAAAGCAUUGGGAAGGGUAUAGGUACCUGAUUUGGAAGUUUUUACAUAAGCUAGCAGAAGAUCUAUGCCUAUCUGUCCUUUUCCCCCCAUAGGGAUGUGAAAAAAGAACAGUAAAAUGUUGGCCCUCAAGCAAGAAAAUCCAGCUGGUACUAACACUCUCACACCCACCUCUGUACUAACAGCCAAUGGCUCUUACCUUGCCAACAUUUUUGCUCCCUUCUUGGAGUUUUUGCUGGUCUACUGGACAUAUGCUCUGUAGAGGACUCAUGGGUGAAGCCUCAGGCCUCUCAGGUGGCUCCUGGCAAGAAGGCACAGAUGCCCAGCACUCGUUUGGGCUGUUCUUCAUGGGAUGUCCAUCACUGGUCUCUUUCUCUCCUUCCAAACUCUGAAGCACUUGGGCAGGGAAUGGAAGCUUGAACUUGGCUACUAACAUAUUAUCUGCUGAUGCUAGAAUAGGUUUUCCACCAGAGUAGGCUGGGCCUUGAACCUUCUCCACAUUUUUCUCUGAGUCACCAUGGCCACUUAAACUUCUCUUGUUCUUCUCCACAUUACUCCAUAUGGCCUGUAGCUCUUCUUCUUCCUCCUCAAACACCUCACGGGCAGGGUGACAAAUUUUUACCACAUCUUGCAACCUUAGUUCCUCUGAAGUCAAGGCAAUUUCUGAGGGUGCUGGAAUGCCUUUCUGGGGGGCUAAUUCACAUUCCAACACAGAUGACUUGGGUGGGCAUUUGAGCCCCAGAUGUACUGAUGAGGGAUGGAAUUUUAGGACAUUUUCUACAGAACAUUUGCUACUUUCUAUCUCUGGUGACUCAUUCACAGAAAUGCCCGUCCUCAAUGUGUGGGAAGUGGCACCAGCAUUACUUGUAUGUUCGGCAGGGGAAGGCUUCAACUUCACCCUGGAUGCCUCCUUCACUUUGGCCUUACUGUCAGCUGGAUUUUUUUGGGUCAUCUGGGUCCUAUCCUGA